UUUUCGAUACAAUAUGGCACUGUUUACAAGUUGCUUUUGAUCGAAUUGUUUAUCCAUGAGCAUUUGUAUGGAUAUACAGAUUCCAUCAGUUUUUCAACCUAGAUGUAAACUCAAGCUUCAAGACACUCUUUUGCAUACAUUUUUAAGGUGCUCUAUUAGUUUCCAUGAUACAUUAUACAUCAUGACAGCGAUUCAUAUAUGGUUUUGGAAUGACGAUGCUGCAGCACUACACAACUUUAGUAAAUUUAAAAGAUAUUUGUAUGGACAGAUUUCAUCUAUGUAUGGGCAGAUUUCAUCAGUUCUUCAAACUGGAUGCAAACCAGCUUCAAAAUAUUUCCUUGCAUUUCCAAGGUGUUCCAAUAGUUUUUAGUGGUGCAUGAUACAUCAUGACAGCAAUUCAUACAUGAUUUUGGAAUGACGAUACUGCAGCAUUACACAACUCUAGCAUUUGUAUGGACAGAUUCCAUCAGUUCUUCAAACUGGAUGUAAUAAAUUCAUGUAUGGUUUGGAAUGAUGAUGCUGUGGCACUACGUAAUUCUUACAUUUAAAUGGACAGAGAUUCCAUCAGUUCUUCAUAUCAGAUGGAAACCAGUUUCAAGAUUUUCAAGGUGUUUCAUUAGUUUCCACUGGUGCAUAAUACAUUUGUAACAACAAUCCAUAUAUGAUUUUGGAAUGAUGAUGACAUUACAUAGCUCUAAAGCAUUUGUAUAUAUUUGGAUAGAUGUACAGAUUCCAUCAGUUCUUCAAACUGGAUACAACCCAUCUUCAAGACAAUUCAAUCGGUUCUUCAAUUGGAUGCAAACCAGCUUCAACACAUUUCCUUGCAUACAUUUCCAAGGUGUUCCGUUAGUUUUUACUAGUGCAUAAUACAUUGUAACAACAUUUCAUAUAUGUAUGAUUUUGGAGUGAUGAUGCUGUGGCAUUAUAUAACUCUAGGAUUUAAAUGGACGCAGAUUCCAUCAGUUCUUCAUACUAGAUGGAAACCAGCUUUAAGACACCUCCUUGCAUAUCUUUCCAAGAUAUUUCAAUAGAUAAUACAUUGUAAGCAAUUCAUAUAUGGUUUGGAAUGAUGAUGCUGUGGGGCUACGUAACUCUUACAUUUAAAUGGACACAGAUUCCAUCAGUUCUUCAUACUAAAUGGAAACCAGCUUCAAGACAUCUCCUUCCAUAUAUUUCCAAAAUGUUCCAAUAGACAGUACAUUGUAAUAGCAAUUCAUAUAUGGUUUGGAAUGACUGCUGUGACACUACAUAACUAGCAUUUGUACGGAUACCGAUUCAAUCAGUUCUUUGCCACCAGAUGGAAACCAGCUUCAAGACACUUUCUUGCAUAUAUGUAUUUCCAAGACGUUCCAAGAUGAUAGAUCAUAACAGCAAUUUAUAUAUAUAUAUAUAUAUAUAUAUAUAUAUAUAUAUAGUUUGGAAUAAUGAUGCUGUGGCACUACAUUACUCUAGUAAAUCCAAAUGCUUUUGAAGCAUAUUUAAUAUUAAGGUGCAUCUGAAUUGAGCCUCAAUCAACCAGGAUCAACUUGUCUCUUUGACAUUGUGCAUAAUUUCUUCAUCUCAGCUGACAAACUUAGAACCACAGAUAAUAGCCGUCAAACUGAUGGCUUCGAAACAACGUUACCGAAGCAACAGUCAUGAAAGGUGUACAUGCAAAUAAUUAGUUAUCUCUAUCAAUUAUUUAAUCCGGAAGUGACUAUCUUCUCGAGGACAUUAGUGUUGCUGCAUAUAAAAAGAGACAAAGAUCCAUCCAAAAAUAUUCAUGUCUUUCUAAUUUUCGAUUUCCUAUAAACUAGUAGUAUGUAAGCAUAUAUUAUGAUUAUGUUCCGUUUAUUUACUGCCAAAGUAUAUUCUAUUUUGUUCGAUGCAAAAUUAGGAAAAUUGUCCUAUUUUAUAUAUAUUAUGUUAUAAAUUAAUGAUACU